rnacentral:rRNA from 1 species
GACGAACGCUGGCGGCGUGCUUAACACAUGCAAGUCGAGGGAGGGAGGGCUUUCGGGCUCUACCCGACCGGCGGACGGGUGAGUAACACGUAAGCGAUCUAUCCCUGUGCGGGGGACAACCCGGGGAAACUCGGGCUAAUACCGCAUGGUCAGUCAUCUCGCAUGGGAAGACUGGGAAAGGUGGCCUCUUUACAAUGCUACCGUGCAGGGAGGAGCUUGCGGGCUAUCAGCUAGUUGGUGAGGUAAUGGCUCACCAAGGCGACGACGGCUAGGGGGUCCGAGAGGACGACCCCCA